rnacentral:tRNA from 1 species
GGCCCGGUAGCUCAAUGGAUAGAGCAGCUCCGUCCUAAGGAGAAGGUUGGACGUUCGACUCGUCUCCGGGCUACCA